GGACGGGUGAGUAAUACAUAGGAAUCUACCCAAUGGAGGGGGAUAGCUCGAGGAAACUCGAAUUAAUACCGCAUAAUCUCCACGGAGUAAAGAGGGCUUCGGCUCUCGCCAUCGGAUGAGCCUAUGCAAGAUUAGCUUGUUGGUAAGGUAAUGGCUUACCAAGGCUACGAUCUUUAGCUGGUUUGAGAGGACGACCAGCCACAUCGGGACUGAGACACGGCCCGGACUUCUACGGAAGGCAGCAGUAGGGAAUAUUGGACAAUGAGCGAAAGCUUGAUCCAGCCAUGCCGCGUGUGCGAUGAAGACCUUAGGGUUGUAAAGCACUUUAGGUUAUGAGAAAAGAUUUGGUAUUAAUACCACCAAAUUUUGAUGUUAAUU
rnacentral:rRNA from 1 species